AGAGUUUGAUCAUGGCUCAGAACGAACGCUGGCGGCGCGCUUAACACAUGCAAGUCGUACGGACGGGUUUCGGCUCGUCAGUGGCGCACGGGUGAGUAACGCGUGGGAACCUGCCCUUUGGUUCGGGAUAACGGCGGGAAACUGCCGCUAAGACCGGAUGAGCCCUAUGGGGGAAAGACUUGUCGCCAAGGGAUGGGCCCGCGUCCGAUUAGCUUGUUGGUGGGGUAACGGCCUACCAAGGCUGCGAUCGGUAGCCGGUCUGAGAGGAUGAUCGGCCACACUGGGACUGAGACACGGCCCAGACUCCUACGGGAGGCAGCAGUGGGGAAUCUUGGACAAUGGGCGCAAGCCUGAUCCAGCGACGCCGCGUGGGUGAUGAAGGCCUUCGGGUUGUAAAGCCCUUUUCCCGGGGACGAUGAUGACGGUACCCGGGGAAUAAGCACCGGCUAACUCCGUGCCAGCCGCCGCGGUAAUAC
rnacentral:rRNA from 1 species